rnacentral:rRNA from 1 species
CCGGUAAACGGCGGCCGUAACUAUAACGGUCCUAAGGUAGCGAAAUUCCUUGUCGGGUAAGUUCCGACCUGCACGAAUGGCGUAAUGAUGGCCAGGCUGUCUCCACCCGAGACUCAGUGAAAUUGAACUCGCUGUGAAGAUGCAGUGUACCCGCGGCAAGACGGAAAGACCCCGUGAACCUUUACUAUAGCUUGACACUGAACAUUGAGCCUUGAUGUGUAGGAUAGGUGGGAGGCUUUGAAGUGUGGACGCCAGUCUGCAUGGAGCCGGCCUUGAAAUACCACCCUUUAAUGUUUGAUGUUCUAACGUGGACCCGUGAUCCGGGUUGCGGACAGUGUCUGGUGGGUAGUUUGACUGGGGCGGUCUCCUCCUAAAGAGUAACGGAGGAGCACGAAGGUUGGCUAAUCCUGGUCGGACAUCAGGAGGUUAGUGCAAUGGCAUAAGCCAGCUUGACUGCGAGCGUGACGGCGCGAGCAGGUGCGAAAGCAGGUCAUAGUGAUCCGGUGGUUCUGAAUGGAAGGGCCAUCGCUCAACGGAUAAAAGGUACUCCGGGGAUAACAGGCUGAUACCGCCCAAGAGUUCAUAUCGACGGCGGUGUUUGGCACCUCGAUGUCGGCUCAUCACAUCCUGGGGCUGAAGUAGGUCCCAAGGGUAUGGCUGUUCGCCAUUUAAAGUGGUACGCGAGCUGGGUUUAGAACGUCGUGAGACAGUUCGGUCCCUAUCUGCCGUGGGCGCUGGAGAACUGAGGGGGGCUGCUCCUAGUACGAGAGGACCGGAGUGGACGCAUCACUGGUGUUCGGGUUGUCAUGCCAAUGGCACUGCCCGGUAGCUAAAUGCGGAAGAGAUAAGUGCUGAAAGCAUCUAAGCACGAAACUUGCCCCGAGAUGAGUUCUCCCUGACCCUUUAAGGGUCCUGAAGGAACGUUGAAGACGACGACGUUGAUAGGCCGGGUGUGUAAGCGCAGCGAUGCGUUGAGCUAACCGGUACUAAUGAACCGUGAGGCUUAACCUUACAACGCCGAAG